CUUGCCUCGAGAGAAUGCUAAUGGAAAUUGAGAAAAGUCUGCAUCAGUCUCGUGAAAAGGAGAGAGCAGAUACAGAAGCUUGGGUUAUAGAAAAUAUCAAGUCAAACCCUAAAGCCUUCUUAAAGUUUGCCAAAGAGAUGGCCGCAGUGUGCCAGAGGAUAGGACCUCUCUUCCAAAAAGAUGGUUCUCUCACAGGAAAUCCCAUGAGGAUAAGUGAAAUACUGAAUGAACACCUUCAUUUUGUGA